rnacentral:rRNA from 1 species
UACGGAGGGUGCUAACGUUGUCCGGAAUUACUGGGCGUAAAGAGCAUGUAGGUGGCUACGUAAGUCCGCGAUCAAAGACCGACGCCUAACGUCGGGACCGUUUCGGAUACUGCGCAGCUGGAGGUCGACAGGGGUACGCGGAACUUUCGGUGUAGGAGUGAAAUCCGUAGAUAUCGAAAGGAACACCAAUGGCGAAGGCAGCGUACUGGGUCGAUUCUGACACUGAGAUGCGAAAGCGUGGGGAGCGAACGGG